CAACCUGGAAGUUAAAAAUCGGAAAAUUUUUUAUAUCCAAACAAGAUUAAAAGUCUGUCUUAUAAGUCUAAAUGUUGUUGUAAGCUAUUAACUAAGCCUUCAUAAAUUAGUAAUUUUUAUUAUUUUUAAUUAAAUGUUAAAAAAAUUACAUGAGUCCAAAAAAUGAUGAUGAUUCUGAUUUGGAUCGUUUCUACGUCUGAAAUUGUGCCGCUUCAUUCAACCGAUUUUCGGUGUCACAAUGAAUAUUUUUCUAGUUAAAAAUUAGCAUCGCAUCGAAACGAUGUUUCAGAUAUUUAAUUCGAGCGACGUUCCUAUUCUCUCUAAAAUCUUUCAGUUACGUUAAAUACCUUAACCUAUUUUCUGUCAUAUUUUAAGCGAAGCAAUUACUGCCAAAUAAUCUACUCUUCAUGUUUUAACCGGAAUUUGCAUCUGACCAUGACCGUAACCAGUUUAUUUUUUACUUUAUCGGUAAAAUUACUUUCCUGUUCUUUUUUUUUCAUAUCGGAAACUUUCGCAUAUUUUAACCUUCCUCCUCUUAAAUAAUUGCAGUAAAGCUUAAAAUUGCUCCGUCGGUUAAACCAUGCCACGUGUUUUGCGAUAUAUAGACCUAUUUAAAAUUUGUCGUACGUAAUGCGAUCAGUUGUAAUUAUGAAGUUUGUAUUGGAUUUUGCGUAAUUAACUCUUAAAAUGGAUUAAAAAAAAAUUCAAUUUUUUUUCGGUAUUGAUAAUGGUUACGUUAUAUCCGAUGGUUUUAUAUGAUUACUGAAAAAUAAAGGCAAAAAUCAAUAAAAUUUUCGGAUGGCAUCAAUAUCAUUUUCUGUCGGAAAAUAUUUGUUCAGGUUGUGUAAUGUUGAUUGUUUGGGAAGCCGCCAGCUAAUUCUACAAAGCAUUUUGCGCAAUACUGUCUGUAUAAACGCGGUAAAACCAGAUUUGAGUAGAGCAAAUUACGCAUUUGCUUUACUACAGCAUUUUAUAUAUAGCUAUAUAUUUGGCCAGACAUGCACAACCCAUCAAAAUAAUCGGGAUAACAAACCGACCGUUUGAACUUAAGUCAAGGUCAAGAAUGUUUGGAUUCGUUCACUCUGGUAAUUAUUAAUUUUAGCAUUGUCUCGUGUAGGGAAUUAAAAAAAAGGCACGUUAUCGCUUCAAUAUGGCGGAGUUGACAAUGUUGUUGUACAAUUAUCUAAAUGUCUAUUUCACGAUUAGUCACGUUAAUUUAUAGUAUUAGUUACGCAGAGUUGCUUUCUAACUGGUAUCUCUAUGAUUAAAGUCGGAAAUAUAUCGAUAUUCAAAUUCCAUACCAAUCAAUGCCAGACCAGUCUAUACUCGCCGCGGUAGAAAGUAAAUAGUUACAAGCAAUAAAAUCUGACAUCGCGAAUCGGCAUCUGCGAUUUCGGUAAUCAUUGAUUUUCCUGUAAAUGCUAAUUAUUUACAGAAUUAUGAAAAGGAAAGUUUUAGCAAUAAGGCGAUUAAUUUUAUUUCUAAGAGAUAAAAUUACAGGAAGACGUAGUGUUAUCCUCUUAAAAACUUCAUGGGACCUUCAUAUUUGAGAUUUAGGUUCCUGCAAGAUUUAUUAUUAAUCGUUUGUUCGAGUUAUUAAGGUCAACGAAACUAAGGGUUUGCAUUACAUGCACAAGACAGACAAAUUGAACUAGAAGUUUAGGAAAUUUUCCAGUCGACUCUUUUAAUUCCUCGCUUCACUUUGGCCUUGGAGUGUUUGACAAAUACUACAAGACGUUUUAUUUGUUUUAAGUUUUCUAUCAUUGGCAGUUCGAUUGAAAACAAUCUCUCUAAAUUGAAAAAUUUUAAUGAAUUGUGUCAAGCAUUGCAGCCACUGCUCUUAUUUACCCAAAUAGUGUAAUUUUGAUGGUUAAUAAACCUUUCUACUUUAUGAGGAUGCCGACUCUUUAAAACCUGUUUUAAGUUAGUAAUUCUGUACCGUGUAGAUUACUCUAAGAAACUGGAGACAUUUUUCUUUAAAUUUUUUUUUUUUUAAUAAAUGUUUUUAUUUAAAAAGUUUUUACUGCAUUAUAAGUUCGAAUAACGUUAAUUAAAUCGGUAAAAGAGAUAGUCUUUUUAUUUUUGAUGAGCACGGAAGCGCAGUAAAUAUCAACAGCAACAAAUCAAAAUUUUGUCACUUUAUAUAAUCCCAGCUGAGUUGAUGUAAAAGCGGCAGCGAAAGUGAUGAUGACGACUUGAGCUCAUUUCUGCAAAACUUUAAUUUCCGAUCCAAAAGGUUCCCAAGUGGCCACACUACGUUGUAUAUGUAUCGGAUGUAUUAGCUGUUUUCUUAAAAAAUAAAUAAAUAAAAGGAAAAAAAAUCAAAUGAAACUUUCGGAGCAAAUGGACUCAAUGGUUUUUGUUGGCGGCAGUUUUUAAGUAAUUUUUACUUCCUUAUAUCUGAAUCCCUGUUGGUUCACAAAUCAUAAAUUUCGGUUAAACGUUGCCGAUAAAAAAAAAAUUUACUUGGGUUUCAUAAAAGGUUUUCAGAGUUUUUUCCUUCUUAUUAUUUUUAUUUUUAUCCAUUCAAAUCUUUAAACUAAGUUCUAAUCGACACGGAAAAAUGGAUAAAGUGAGAUAUCGCAUUUAUUAUUUUUAAUAUUGAAUUAUAUAAAAGGCAAACUACACACAGAGAAAUUUCUUUCGUUUUUAAACUUAAAAUUGCAUUUUUAAAUCUUGCAAAAACUCUCUUUAACUGAUAGCAGUUGAAACUCAAAAAUAUAAGAUUGUUUACAUAGCAUUACUUUAAAAAAACAAAAAAAUUGUACAAACUUCUCACUCAAGUAUAAGGUUAAAUAAUUAAUCAGAUACACGUAAAUUCUUAUUUAAUUUAAGUUUAUAAUAUGAAAACUAAAAAAACAAAACCUCUUUAGGCCUACUUAAUCUCAAGCUUAGUCUGCUUGUAUUUUUGCAAUUUCUAUUAAGAAAUUUAUGUAUCAGAUAUACUAACAGAGAUGAUAAAGUUUUCUCAAUAGAACUUUAAAAUGCGAUUUGUUUUAAAUCUAAGUGGUAUUUUUUUAUGCAUUAGAUAACCAACGACAGAUUUAAUUGGGAUUUCGCGAUGGAAGGAAAAAAAACCAUGCGUGACGCCUUUACUAUAAAUAAAUGUAGCCAAUUGAUUGAUUUUAAUGUUUGGCAAAAAUGUGGAUUUAUUCAAUCCGGAAUGUCUGGAUUAGAGCAAUAUAUCACGUGUAGCCUGCUAUAAUUAAAACUGGUUCAAAAUUGAUCUGUCUGAGCGUUUUAGCUAUUUCUCGAUAAACGAUACCAUCGAUGUCCCAUUUAUUUACUCGACAAUUUGGAACUUAAUGCCCUUCAUCCUACUGACACACAUGCGAUAAGGAUAAACAGCGAGUUCUGCUCAAUUAGAAUUACCGGAUUUGAGAAUUACUCCACUGACCGGAAGGCCGCCUUUCUAUAAACAUGUAAAUAUUAGUAGCGUUAAUAAUUGUAAUUUAGAUUUUCUUUAUAAACGUAUAUUUAAUUUAUAAUUAUGUGAGCGAAUAAUACGAAGAAAAUGAAUUGCCUAAACAGAUAUGAAAAAUUAUUUCGGAUUGAUUUAGAUCUAUUUGAAAUGAUGGAAUAAGAUAAAUAGGAUAUUUUUUUAACCAUUCCAAUAUGCAUUUACGAUUAAUGUACAUUUCACCACUGCUUAAACAUUAAAAAAAAAAAUUGCAGACUCUGAUAUUUCACAAAAUGAUUUAUAAACAGCGGCGAAUUUAAUGAAAAAUACCUAAUUUGAUGCAAAAUUUUUACAUUAGAACUUCUAUGAUUGUCUAAUAUGUAGUUUUUUUAUCUAUGCUUAAUAUUGUGCAAGUUGUUUAUAGGGCUCGAUCGGUUAUUGCUGAUUAAGUAGAUCGUUAAUUAAAUCAAUAAUUGUUUGUUUGUUUACAAGGUGGCGAAAUAAUUUUAUUCCUAAAAAGUGGAUCAAAUCUUUAAAAUUUGUGAUUUUUUUAUCUUAUAAAUGUGAUCAACGACUUAAUAUAUAAUUUCUUUUUAUUACAUGAAUCAUAUUGCAUGCAUAUUCAUCUACAUUAUAAAAAAUUGUUUAUUUAUUUGUUGAAUAUAUUAUAUUUAAACUAUAGGCCAUUAUUCUUGCAUCUAUAUAUUACCGA
rnacentral:lncRNA from 1 species